rnacentral:rRNA from 1 species
GACGAACGCUGGCGGCGUGCUUAACACAUGCAAGUCGAACGGUGAACCAGAGCUUGCUCUGGGGAUCAGUGGCGAACGGGUGAGUAACACGUGGGCAACCUGCCCCAGACUCUGGGAUAACCUCGGGAAACCGAUGCUAAUACCGGAUACGACCAUUUCGGACAUCCGACGGUGGUGGAAAGUUUUUUCGGUCUGGGAUGGGCCCGCGGCCUAUCAGCUAGUUGGUGGGGUAAUGGCCUACCAAGGCGACGACGGGUAGCCGGCCUGAGAGGGCGACCGGCCACACUGGAACUGAGACACGGUCCAGACUCCUACGGGAGGCAGCAGUGGGGAAUAUUGCACAAUGGGCGAAAGCCUGAUGCAGCGACGCCGCGUGAGGGGACGACGGCCUUCGGGUUGUAAACCGUCUUUCAGCAGGGACGAAGCGAAAGUGACUGUACCUGCAGAAGAAGCACCGGCUAACUACGUGCCAGCAGCCGCGGUAAGAGUACUCUAU